UACCAUUGUGAAGGGCUGAGGUACAGCCAUC
rnacentral:piRNA from 1 species